rnacentral:rRNA from 1 species
AGCGAACGCUGGCGGCAGGCCUAACACAUGCAAGUCGAACGGACCCUUCGGGGUUAGUGGCGGACGGGUGAGUAACACGUGGGAACGUGCCGUUAGGUUCGGAAUAGCUCCUGGAAACGGGUGGUAAUGCCGCAUGUGCCCUUCGGGGGAAAGAUUUAUCGCCUUUAGAGCGGCCCGCGUCUGAUUAGCUAGUUAGUGAGGUAAAGGCUCACCAAGGCGACGAUCAGUAGCUGGUCUGAGAGGAUGACCAGCCACAUUGGGACUGAGACACGGCCCAAACUCCUACGGGAGGCAGCAGUGGGGAAUCUUGCGCAAUGGGCGAAAGCCUGACGCAGCCAUGCCGCGUGAAUGAUGAAGGUCUUAGGAUUGUAAAAUUCUUUCACCGGGGACGAUAAUGGCGGUACCCGGAGAAGAAGCCCCGGCUAACUUCGUGCCAGCCGCCGCGGUAACAC